rnacentral:rRNA from 1 species
UACGGAGGGGGCUAGCGUUGUUCGGAAUUACUGGGCGUAAAGCGCACGUAGGCGGCUUUGUAAGUUAGAGGUGAAAGCCUGGAGCUCAACUCCAGAAUUGCCUUUAAGACUGCAUCGCUUGAAUCCAGGAGAGGCGGGUGGAAUUCCGAGUGUAGAGGUGAAAUUCGUAGAUAUUCGGAAGAACACCAGUGGCGAAGGCGGCCCGCUGGACCGGCAUUGACGCUGAGGUGCGAAAGCGUGGGGAGCAAACAGG